GUACACGCUGUGACUAGCAUAUCAAUAAGCGGAGGAAAAGAAACUAACAAGGAUUCCCCUAGUAACGGCGAGUGAAGCGGGAAGAGCUCAAAUUUGAAAUCUUAAAGGGUUUCCCUUUACGAAUUGUAGUUUAAAGAAGUGUUUUCUGUUGAGGUUUUGGUAAAAGUUCUUUGGAAUAGGACAUCAUAGAGGGUGAGAAUCCCGUAUUUGACCUUUACUUUCAACUUUGUGAUACACUUUCAAAGAGUCGGAUUGUUUGGGAAUGCAGUCCAAAAUGGGUGGUAAAUUUCAUCUAAAGCUAAAUAUUAGCGAGAGACCGAUAGCGAACAAGUACCGUGAGGGAAAGAUGAAAAGAACUUUGAAAAGAGAGUUAAACAGUACGUGAAAUUGUCAAAAGGGAAGCGUUUGACACCAGUGUUGUUUUUCUGAAGAUCAAUUAAAGAACUGUUUAUGCUAAGCUGUUUAGACUUUAUCAGCUAUACUGUUUAGUUUUGAGCUUUUCUUUAAUGCACUUUUCAGUUAACAAGUCAACAUCAAUUUCUUUUGCUGUAAAAAAGCUUGAGGAAGGUGGCUUGAGAUUCGUCUUAAGUGUUUAUAGCCUCUUGCCUAUGCAGUCGGAGAGAUUGAGGUCUGCAGCGUAGAUCCUUCGGGGCUAAAUGCAUUUGUGCUAAGUUAUAGCAUUUUAUAGACAACUUGUUGACUAUGAUUUGUCUUGUAGCUUACUCGCUUAUGUUAUUUUACCUACGCUUAGGAUGUUGAAGUCAUCGUAUCGCGC
rnacentral:rRNA from 1 species